rnacentral:rRNA from 1 species
GACGAACCGUGCGAACGUUGUUCGGAAUCACUGGGCUUAAAGGGCGCGUAGGCGGGCGGUCAAGUCAGAGGUGAAAUCCCACGGCUCAACCGUGGAAGUGCCCCUGAUACUGAUCGCCUCGAGGGAGGUAGGGGCGUGCGGAACUUCCGGUGGAGCGGUGAAAUGCGUAGAUAUCGGAAGGAACACCAGUGGCGAAAGCGG